GACAGAGGCCCCAAGCGUUAGGCGGAAUCACUGGGCUUAAAGCGUGUGUAGGCGGACGCCUAAGUGUCUUGUGAAAUCCCACGGCUCACCCGUGGAACUGCUGGGCAUACUGGGCGUCUUGGGCCAACUAGGGGCAGCCGGAACAAGCGGUGGAGCGGUGAAAUGCGUAGAGAUCGGAAAGAACACCAACGGCGAAAGCACUCUGCUGGGCCGACACUGACACUGAGAGACGAAAGCUAGGGGAGCGAAUGGG
rnacentral:rRNA from 1 species